AGUGAACGCUGGCGGUAGGCCUAACACAUGCAAGUCGAACGGCAGCACAGUAAGAGCUUGCUCUUACGGGUGGCGAGUGGCGGACGGGUGAGGAAUACAUCGGAAUCUACUUUUUCGUGGGGGAUAACGUAGGGAAACUUACGCUAAUACCGCAUACGACCUACGGGUGAAAGCAGGGGAUCUUCGGACCUUGCGCGAUUGAAUGAGCCGAUGUCGGAUUAGCUAGUUGGCGGGGUAAAGGCCCACCAAGGCGACGAUCCGUAGCUGGUCUGAGAGGAUGAUCAGCCACACUGGAACUGAGACACGGUCCAGACUCCUACGGGAGGCAGCAGUGGGGAAUAUUGGACAAAGGGCGCAAGCCUGAUCCAGCCAUACCGCGUGGGUGAAGAAGGCCUUUGGGUUGUAAAGCCCUUUUGUUGGGAAAGAAAAGCAGCAGGUUAAUACCCCGCUGUUCCGACGGUACCCAAAGAAUAAGCACCGGCUAACUUCGUG
rnacentral:rRNA from 1 species